rnacentral:rRNA from 1 species
CCUACGUGAGGCAGCAGUGGGGAAUAUUGGACAAUGGGGGGAACCCUGAUCCAGCGACGCCGCGUGAGUGAAGAAGUAUUUCGGUAUGUAAAGCUCUAUCAGCAGGGAAGAAAGAAAUGACGGUACCUGACUAAGAAGCCACGGCUAACUACGUGCCAGCAGCCGCGGUAAUACGUAGGGGGCAAGCGUUAUCCGGAUUUACUGGGUGUAAAGGGAGCGUAGACGGCGAUGCAAGUCUGAAGUGAAAGGCGGGGGCCCAACCCCCGGACGGCUUUGGAAACUGUAUGGCUGGAGUGCAGGAGAGGUAAGUGGAAUUCCUAGUGUAGCGGUGAAAUGCGUAGAUAUUAGGAGGAACACCAGUGGCGAAGGCGGCUUACUGGACUGUAACUGACGUUGAGGCUCGAAAGCGUGGGGAGCAAACAGGAUUAGAUACCCGUGUAGUC